GAUGAACGCUGGCGGCGUGCCUAAUACAUGCAAGUCGAGCGAACAGACGCGGAGCUUGCUCCUCUGACGUUAGCGGCGGACGGGUGAGUAACACGUGGAUAACCUACCUAUAUGACUGGGAUAACUUCGGGAAACCGGCGCUAAUACCGGAUAAUAUAUUGAACCGCAUGGUUCAAUAGUGAAAGACGGUUUUGCUGUCACUUAUAGAUGGAUCCGCGCCGCAUUAGCUAGUUGGUAAGGUAACGGCUUACCAAGGCAACGAUGCGUAGCCGACCUGAGAGGGUGAUCGGCCACACUGGAACUGAAACGCGGUCCAGACUCCUACGAGAGGCAGCAGUAGGGAAUCGUCCGCAAUGGGCGAAAGCCUGACGGAGCAACGCCGCGUGAGUGAUGAAGGUCUUCGGAUCGUAAAACUCUGUUAUUAGGGAAGAACAAAUGUGUAAGUAACUAUGCACGUCUUGACGGUACCUAAUCAGAAAGCCACGGCUAACUACGUG
rnacentral:rRNA from 1 species